rnacentral:rRNA from 1 species
GAUGAACGCUGGCGGCGUGCCUAAUACAUGCAAGUCGAGCGAACGGACGAGAAGCUUGCUUCUCUGAUGUUAGCGGCGGACGGGUGAGUAACACGUGGAUAACCUACCUAUAAGACUGGGAUAACUUCGGGAAACCGGAGCUAAUACCGGAUAAUAUUUUGAACCGCAUGGUUCAAAAGUGAAAGACGGUCUUGCUGUCACUUAUAGAUGGAUCCGCGCUGCAUUAGCUAGUUGGUAAGGUAACGGCUUACCAAGGCAACGAUGCAUAGCCGACCUGAGAGGGUGAUCGGCCACGCUGGAACUGAGACACGGUCCAGACUCCUACGGGAGGCAGCAGUAGGGAAUCUUCCGCAAUGGGCGAAAGCCUGACGGAGCAACGCCGCGUGAGUGAUGAAGGUCUUCGGAUCGUAAAACUCUGUUAUUAGGGAAGAACAUAUGUGUAAGUAACUGUGCACAUCUUGACGGUACCUAAUCAGAAAGCCACGGCUAACUACGU